UGAAACCCCCAAGGCAGCGAGGCCACACAUUCAUUUUCUGAACACUGCCUGAAGUGAUUCAAAAUGACAGUCAUAUCUAAAGUGAUCAUGUGUAAGUAUAUGAGUUACAAAUGUAUGCACACGCGUACAUGCAGAAAACAAAAUAUUGGGUGGUGAUUAUAUGUCUAAAAAGGUUCAUUCAGGGGGGAACUUUCUUCUUUGCUUUAUUUUCUUUUCAGAAGAAUUCUUCCUCAAAACAAGGCUCAAAGUUUAAUUCAAUAUAAUUUUCUCUUUGCCUUUAACCUUGGUAAACAUUUGCACUAUUCUCCCGCACUGGUAGAAAUAAACUCACAAUGUCAAGGAAAAAAAAGAUCUUUUGAUAGAAUAUUGAUCUGAAUUUUUUUAUGAAUCUCUAUCUUCUAAUCUGUCAUUAAUACAUUGUUUUUGUCCCCCCCCCCCCCCCGUGUGUGAGGUACUGGAUGGGCACACAUUAUGUAUGGUCAGAGGACAGCUUUAUGAAGUUGAUUUUCUCCAUCCACUUUUCUGUGGGUUCUGGGAAUCAGUUUAGGUUGCCAGGUAUGUACCAAUGAAACGACCCGCGGAGAAGAAAAAUACACACAUUGGUUCUGCAAUAUGCACUAGAUAAUCUGAAACAGGGCAACCACCCCAGCUCUAACAUGUGUGUUCACAAAGGGCUCCGUGGAAAGGACCAGAGAAGGCACCAGGCUAAAUUGAAAGCCAAGGAAAGGAAAGCAUUGCUGACAGCAUCCAGUAGAAGACAGGGUUCUGGGAAGGAGGACUCAGCACAUUAGCCAUCCUGGUGUGACCCCCAUGCAUUCAGGAGGCAAGUCCAAGAUGCACCAAAAUCUUCCAGUGAUUGAAGGACUCCAAAUUUCUUUUCUUUGUCAUCAUUAAGAAGUUUGGACAACCUGAAUGGCAAACAGAUAAGCAGGCAUCCUCCCACUGUGGCCAAGGUCAAAGUCAAGAUAUCUCAAGGGGCUGCACAAUGUGAACCUGAGAGUUUAUUUUUAUGAGAUCGACUUCUGUUACCCACUAUCCAUGACCUGGCUCUACACGGUUUCUCCAGCCAUCCUGUCAGUUUUACGGUUUGUUUACAUCCAAGGUAUGUAAUGUUACACUAUUCAUCGUGGUUGCCAAGCAAUGACAUGCCCUGAAUCCCUAUGGGAAUUCCCCAGUUCCCAAACACAUUCAUUCAAGAAGGCUGUCCUCAGGACAUCCAUCUUCUUUUCUGACCGGCUACAGAUAAGGAGCAGCUGUUGGAUCACGCCUACCACAGCUACUGACUCCCAUACUGGGAGGUGACAGGAUCUCAGAAAGCCAUCCCUGGCAGCUGGAUCUGCUCAUGGCUCCUAUGUCCCACAAAACAUGUUCUCAGGAAUGUGGUCAUUUGGAGACAUGAUAUGCCAUCAAGGAAGCAUUUCGCUCUGUACCAUCCGGAUCUCACCGGAUGUCACCCUUGCCGCAAGGCUCAUAGGGAAUGCUGUCCUAAGAGCUCCGCGUGGUCAAGUUCCCAGGAAAUGAAAGCCUAAGCCUUUCUUGGCAUGCAGUCCAUUCUUACACACACACACACACACACACACACACACACACCUUGCUUCAUGUCUCCUUUUGCUCAUAAUACUUUUUUUUUUUUUUUUUGUAGCAACCCCUCCUUCACUCAACUCUUCCCUCUUCCUUCAGGAUAGUAAGCCUUCAAAAUUAGGCUAGAGUCUCUCUUUCCAUGGACCCUGCCUACAACUGACCAAGUCCUGUGAGAUUUAUCCCACGGUUUCCUUUUGCACAUUAUUUUCCCCUCCUAAUUUCACAACUGUCAAGUUUCCUUCAAAGAAUUCCAACAUUUUGCACUUAGAAAGGACCCGAGAUAAUCCUUUGUCUCUUUGCUCUUUCAUAUUAGUAAUUAAUCAAAGCUCUGGACAUCUGAGCUCUUUUUUGAGGGCCAACAUGACUUCCCCUUCCUGUGAAUCCUGGGAGGUCUGGAGCUCUGCUCCUCCAGGGCCAGAGUCUUAUCACUGAAGAUUAUGAUGCUGGCCUGCAGCUAUUCAGGGCACGGAAAUGGAAAUCUAAAUUCAAGUCCUAUUGAAGAAAGGACCAACAAAACAAAACAAAAUGAAACGAAAAAUAUUGCCGAGGGCCAGAUCACUAAUAGACACACACACACACACACACACAUACACACACACAUACACACACAUACAUACACACACACACAUGCACACACACACAAGUGCACGCACACACACACUCUCUCACACACAAAUUCCACUUUGUAUGAAGUCACAUCAGAGAGACUAAGACAGGAGCUGAGUUAGAAAUAUCCUCUGUGGUCCUGAGAGCCAAGAUGUUAUACACAUUAGGAAGAGAAUCGGAUCAUACUUUGAAGAAGGCACUAAAAAGCAUGUAUAAGUUCAUCUGCAAGGUUGAAGUGGUGGAAGUAUACGUGUGUAUGUAGGCAUGCGUUUACAUACAUCACAUAUGAAUAUCCUCCCAAGUAUCUAUUGCCAUAUGUGUAUGUAUGUGUAUAUUCACAUCGCUAUGUGCAUUACUGACCUUGUGCUCUGUGAUGAAUCCUUGAGGGCGUUAGUCUGAACUCUGCCACUGUGCCUUUAUCACUGCUUGUGCACAGGAAAAGUUCAGGCGGUUCUCAGGACCUUUCUCCAGUGGCCACACAAGUCAAGAAGAGCAACUUGGCCGGCAUGAAGCACAGAAGUAGCGUGGUUGUUUAGCUUUCGGGAUGCUCUGGGUUUCACCCCAGUACUGCAAAAAUAGAGAAACAAAUAAAUAAGGAAAUGAAGAUAGUGACGGCCGCCUCUGCUGAUUCUCAGGACUCUGAUCCCUCUCAUGGCCGAGCUGCUAUUUGAUGCUGCUGUUUGGAAGCCACACUCAAGCAGCAAAUGGGCUAGGUUCUCUGACCUUGCAAUGGUGACAUCCCAUGAUUCCUUAGUGCCUGGACAUCAAGGCCCUCACUGCAACCUUUGGCAAAUUCUGGGUGUGCUGGUCUGGUAGCACACCCUGAGAGUGGAUCUGGUCAACUUAGCUGGCUCUUUGGACAAGCCUACACUGGAUUUAAAACUUCUGCAGGAAACAGGAUCCUCCAUCAUUUUCUCUGUCUCCUCAGCUGGUGGUCCCGAGCAUCCACUUCUGAAGAACUAAGACAAGCUGUCCAAGAAAGCGCAUCUCUGCUUAGAUUCGGAUCUGUGCUUCCUCCCAGGCUAACAUCCAGGGACAAACGCUCUCCUGAGUUAGAUGUGAAACAGACUCCUGCUGCUCAGGAAACAGCGGAAAGGCCGGCUAUCCAGGGACCAACUGAGCUUCAGGAGAACGGGAAAGUAAAAGCUUAGUACUCAGGCCCCUCAGGACGGGUUCAGAUAAGCAAGAAGACAUUCGGUGCGGAAGCGCCAGUGUGUGUGUGCAAGUGGCUCCUUAGAGAAAUCCGAUAAACAUGAGAAAGCAUGUCCAUGACUGCCUUGACCCCCUGAUGUUCCCCAGAGAGUGAACUGACCCUGGCACCAUGGCGCUUGGCCAUAGGCACAGAAGUGAGGGAGCAUGCCUAAUGGACGGCUGUUGUGAAUCCACAAGCCUUGGUUUUUGUUAGGCAGGGCCAUGACACUUUGUAAAACCCUUCCAUUUUGGUUGAACUGUGACAAUUCCUGUAACUACAAUAAUUUGAAUUCCAGAAAUAAAGUAGCUUGUUUCAAUUCUA